rnacentral:tRNA from 1 species
UCCUCAUAGCUCAGUUGGUAAAGAAUCUGCCUGCAAUGCAGGAGACCCUGGUUUGAUUCCUGGGUCAGGAA